rnacentral:rRNA from 1 species
UACAGAGGUCCCAAGCGUUGUUCGGAUUCAUUGGGCGUAAAGAGCGCGUAGGCGGCCCGGAAAGUCGGAUGUGAAAACCCGGGGCUCAACCCCGGGCCUGCAUCCGAUACUCCCGGGCUGGAGGCAGGUAGGGGAGAUCGGAAUUCCUGGUGUAGCGGUGAAAUGCGCAGAUAUCAGGAGGAACACCGGUGGCGAAGGCGGAUCUCUGGGCCUGUCCUGACGCUGAGGCGCGAAAGCUAGGGGAGCGAACAGG